rnacentral:rRNA from 1 species
GAUGAACGCUGACAGAAUGCUUAACACAUGCAAGUCUACUUGAACUUCGGUUUGGGUGGCGGACGGGUGAGUAACGCGUAAAGAACUUGCCUCACAGAUAGGGACAACAUUUGGAAACGAAUGCUAAUACCUGAUAUUAUGAUUUUAGGGCAUCCUAGAAUUAUGAAAGCUAUAUGCACUGUGAGAGAGCUUUGCGUCCCAUUAGCUAGUUGGAGAGGUAACGGCUCACCAAGGCGAUGAUGGGUAGCCGGCCUGAGAGGGUGAUCGGCCACAAGGGGACUGAGACACGGCCCUUACUCCUACGGGAGGCAGCAGUGGGGAAUAUUGGACAAUGGACCAAGAGUCUGAUCCAGCAAUUCUGUGUGCACGAUGAAGUUUUUCGGAAUGUAAAGUGCUUUCAGUUGAGAAGAAAAAAAUGACGGUACCAACAGAAGAAGUGACGGCUAAAUACGUG